GGAGAGGUGGUCGAGUUGGUUUAAGGCACCGGUCUUGAAAACCGGCGUGGGGGUAACUCCACCGUGGGUUCGAAUCCCACCCUCUCCGCCA
rnacentral:tRNA from 3 species